rnacentral:lncRNA from 1 species
UCCGAGACGCCAAGGCCAUGGCGGCCACACCGGCUGACAUCAAAGAGUACCCGAAUUCCUACGUGUUCAUCGUGGACAUGCCGGGACUGAAGUCGAAUGACAUCAAAGUGCAGGUGGAGGACGACAAUGUGCUGCUGAUUUCUGGGGAGAGGAAAAGGGAUGAGGAAAAAGAAGGUGCAAAGAAUGGAGAGGAGAGUUGGGAAAUUUAUGAGAAAAUUUGUUCUGCCUGAAAAUGCAAAUACUAAUGCAAUUUCUGCUGCUUGUCAAGAUGGGGUUUUGACUGUGACUGUUCAGA